GGCUCGGUAGUGGAUGGUCCGCAUCUGCUUCAAUUAUCAACCCUCAGGUUUACUACAUGCAGAUCCUGCCUGUUCGAUUCAGGCCCGAGCCA